UAUCGUAUCCACGUCGGCAGCAAACCAUGCUUCCAUUCUGCAUAAAUACCACUGGAAUACUUCAUGUGCUAAUCCCUCUUGCCUUAACUCUGGAUGUGUAUCUAGAACAAUUGAAAUGGCUUGGAGAACAGACAUGUCAUAUGGAUGUCCGUCUCUUACUUUCUCAGUCUCUUUGAGUAUUUUCUCAAAUAUCUGUCCAACUUCAAUGACAAGCUGUUGAGGGACCUGGUUUCCAUCCUUGUCAAAAAGUGCAUAGCUUUCAAGAUCAUGAUCAUACAGCACCGAGUUAUCACCACUAGUGCGGUAUAACCGAAGGCCUAGAGCUCGAAUUAACGGGGCCAAGGAAUUUUCAUUGCAGACUCCAUGCAGCCACGAAGCUCCCAUAUCGACAGGACAGCCAAAAGAGUAAUCGGUAUGCACACGACCACCAAGCCGAUUCCGUGAUUCGAGAAGAAUGACCUUCACUGAAGCAUCAGACAAAGCACGAGCAGCAGCAAUUCCUGAAAUCCCUCCACCGAUCACGACCACCGUAGGAGAAUGUUGUUGCCUCUUAAAAUGCGUGAGAAAAGAACCAUCAACGACGAAAUCAUCACAACCACCAGAAAUCCCCUUCAUUUCCAUCGCAGAAGAGAACACCGGUUGAA
rnacentral:misc_RNA from 1 species